UACGUAGGGUGCAAGCGUUGUCCGGAAUUAUUGGGCGUAAAGAGCUUGUAGGCGGUUUGUCGCGUCUGCUGUGAAAUUUCGGGGCUCAACCCCGAACUUGCAGUGGGUACGGGCAGACUAGAGUGUGGUAGGGGAGACUGGAAUUCCUGGUGUAGCGGUGAAAUGCGCAGAUAUCAGGAGGAACACCGAUGGCGAAGGCAGCUCUCUGGGUCCCUACCGACGCUGGGGUGCGAAAGCAUGGGGAGCGAACAGG
rnacentral:rRNA from 1 species